UGGGGAAUAUUGGACAAUGGGCGAAAGCCUGAUCCAGCCAUGCCGCGUGUGUGAAGAAGGUCUUCGGAUUGUAAAGCACUUUAAGUUGGGAGGAAGGGCAUUAACCUAAUACGUUAGUGUUUUGACGUUACCGACAGAAUAAGCACCGGCUAACUCUGUGCCAGCAGCCGCGGUAAUACAGAGGGUGCAAGCGUUAAUCGGAAUUACUGGGCGUAAAGCGCGCGUAGGUGGUUUGUUAAGUUGGAUGUGAAAUCCCCGGGCUCAACCUGGGAACUGCAUUCAAAACUUACUGACUAGAGUAUGGUAGAGGGUGGUGGAAUUUCCUGUGUAGCGGUGAAAUGCGUAGAUAUAGGAAGGAACACC
rnacentral:rRNA from 1 species